rnacentral:tRNA from 1 species
GGGGAAGUAGCCGAAUCGGUAUAGGCAAUAGUCGAAAAAGCGGAUUCUGUCAAGAAUCUUUACGGCAACUAAAUCGAAAUCAAACUGUCGUAUGUGGGUUCGAGUCCCACCUUCCCCU